GACGAACGCUGGCGGCGUGCCUAAUACAUGCAAGUUGAGCGCUGAAGGUUGGUACUUGUACCAACUGGGUGAGCAGCGAACGGGUGAGUAACGCGUGGGGAAUCUGCCUUUGGGCGGGGGGCAACGUUUGGAAACGAAUGCUAAUACCGCAUAAAAACUUUAAACACAGGUUUUAAGUUUGAAAGAUGCAAUUGCAUAACUUAAAGAUGAUCCCGCGGUGGAUUAGCUAGUUGGGUAGGAAAAGGCCCACCCAGGCGUAGAUACAGAGCCUGACUGGGAGGGUGGUCGGCCCCAAUGGGACUUGGAAACGGGCCAAACUCCUACGGGAGGCAGCAGGAGGGGAUCUUUGGACAUGGAGGGAAGGCCUAACGAGGAAAGCCGGGUGAGUUGAGAAGGUUUUCGGAUCGGAAAACUCCGUUGGUAGGGAAGAACGUUGGGGAGAGUGGAAAGCUCAUCAAUUGACGUUACCUACCCAGAAAGGGACGGCUAACUACGUG
rnacentral:rRNA from 1 species